GGGGAAAGGCUGUGGCUCAGUGGUAGAGCAUCUGCUUUGCAUGCACAUGUUCCAAGGUUCAAAUCCUCAUGUCUCCA
rnacentral:tRNA from 1 species